rnacentral:rRNA from 1 species
CCUCUUGUGAACCAUUGGCCUUUGCUGGCUUCCGCUGGUAAAGGAUUUACACAAACACGAAUGUAAUGAAAUAAUGUUGUGCUAAGCACUAAUAUACAACUUUCAACAACGGAUCUCUUGGCUCUCGCAUCGAUGAAGAACGCAGCGAAAUGCGAUAAGUAAUGUGAAUUGCAGAAUUCAGUGAAUCAUCGAAUCUUUGAACGCACCUUGCACCCUUUGGUAUUCCAAAGGGUAUGCUCGUUUGAGUGUCAUUAUACUCUCACACUCUCUGAUGAGAGAGCGGUGGACUUGGAUGUUGCCUGGUGCUUACUGUCAGGCUCGUCUAAAAUGAAUUAAUACGACUCCUAAUUAAACAUAUACNGCGUUAUAACUAAACCCUCNCUGUUUUCUGUCUGAUCAUGGGUUCUGUGCUUCAAACCGUCUUCGGACAAUAUCUGAUAACUUGACCUCAAAUCGAGUAAGAUUACCCGCUGAACUUAAGCAUAUC